rnacentral:rRNA from 1 species
GACGAACGCUGGCGGCGUGCUUAACACAUGCAAGUCGAACGGAAAGGCCCUGCUUUUGUGGGGUGCUCGAGUGGCGAACGGGUGAGUAACACGUGAGUAACCUGCCCUUGACUUUGGGAUAACUUCAGGAAACUGGGGCUAAUACCUGAUAGGAGCUCCUGCUGCAUGGGGGGGGUUGGAAAGUUUCGGCGGUUGGGGAUGGACUCGGGGCUUAUCAGCUUGUGGGUGGGGUAGUGGCUUACCAAGGGUUUGACGGGUAGCCGGCCUGAGAGGGUGACCGGCCACAUUGGGACUGAGGUACGGCGCAGACUCCUACGGGAGGCAGCAGUGGGGAGUAUUGCACAGUGGGCGGAAGCCUGAUGCAGCAACGCCGCGUGCGGGAUGAAGGCCUUCGGGUUGUAAACCGCUUUCGCCUGUGACGAAGCGUGAGUGACGGUAAUGGGUAAAGAAGCACCGGCUAACUACGUG